GGUACAAUCUUAUCACAAUUCCUAACCAAACACAAUGAGAUCUAUUGGAUGGGAAUCGAAAUAAUUUAAUUUUCCGCUGUGCAUGUAUAAGUAGAUUCCCAACAUUACUUUAGUAUCCUUAAAAAGAAAAAUGCAAGCAACAUUUCACAAGCAUAAAUGCAACGUGAUUCGAUAUGAUACACAACAAAUUAGCAUAUCACAAUGAGACGGUGAAACUGGAGAAAAAUAUACCUCUUCUGUAGUCAUUUCCAAUAUCAUUUUCUAUUUUCUCAAUAGAGCUUAUGACAUUGCUACAGUUGUUCUAAACAGCAUCUUUAUCUAGUUGACCACAGUACACAACUUGAUAUCGUAUAACUAUCUUGUUCAAUGUAUUUGUAGCAGUAAUCUUGUUCAAUGUAUUUGUAGCAGUAGAUUUUUGAUUGCAGAGAAGGAAUAGUAGUAGUAAUCAUUGGACUACAUUUAUAAGAAACCACAAAUAAUGCAUAUAAAAAGCAUUCAGCAACACCAAAUAAGGUUACCAUUUUGAACCCAACAUGCUUCCCUAGUAUAAAUACACAAAAGAGUUGAGAAAGAAGACCUCGGAUCUGCAUUUGAUGGACUAUCUUUGAAUUAAAAGGUGAUCAUCUAGAGGAGAUUUACUUCCACUCACAUUCUAUCCUACAAACUAUCAUUCUAUUUGAGCAAUAGUCUGGUUUUUUUUGAGACAUUGAUGUGCUAUCUCUAGAUCAAAUUAUAUUUUCAUUAUAUGUGAAUUUGAAUUAUGAAAGUAGCUUUGUAUUUGGACCUGUGCCUUGACUUAUAGCUGUUAAGUAAUGAUCUAGAAUCAAUCUGCAUAUUUGCUUAGGCUAUGGCAUGAGAGAAACUGCAUGGAAUGGAAAAUGGAGAGUGGAAAGGUUUUGGGGAAUCAACUUUUUCUUGUUGACUGAAGAUGAAGGCUUUAAAGGAUGGAAAGUGGGUGGAAAACAAUUUUUUUUUUCUUUUAUUUAAGCGAGAUAUGUCCCUUUUUUUAACAACAUACAUUGAACUCUUGAAGAAUUUCAGUAUUCUUGCUUUAUGAUUUUCCUGCUGUAACAAUGCAGAUGUGGAUUGGGGAUUUUAAUUUGUUGGCAAUGGCAGAGGUAUGGUGGUAAGUACUGGUCUGAACUACGAAUUUCCAAUUUAACAACAGAAUUGACAAUACAGACAAAUCUAUAGCAUGGAGUAAGCAGGAAGCUGAAAGAAAAGAAAUUUGACAAGUGAAGUUUCACCAAGAUGAUUUGCAAAUACAGCAUAAAAUUUGAAGGGCUCUUAUUCCUGCUAUGUUUGACAACUCUUAUGUCAUCUAUGAUAAUGGCAAAUAUCCAUUGUUUUCCACAAAUGAUAUCUUCUACAUGAUUAAAGAUCUUUUUUAGAAAUAAAUAAUUUGCAUAGACAACUUAUUUUAAAGCUUGUGGAAUCUCUUGAAUUAUGAAUCUUGAAUAAGAAAGGCAACAAAAGGAAAAUGCAAAUGUCAUUGACAAAGAACUGUUAAAGUAGCCUUAUUGCUAAGUUCCAUAAUAUAUAAGAGGAGUCAUCAUUUUUUUAUACAUAUCAUACAAGUAAAUAACUAUUUUUUUGAAGAAGAUUAUAGUUUGUGAAUGGAGAAUAUAGGAGGACAAAUAGCCAAUAUAUAUAUAUAUAUAUACAUAUAUAUAUAUAUAUAUAUAUAUAUAUAUAUAUCAGAAAAGGUUUUUCUUGUUCUCUUUCGAACAAACAACUUUUGUACGGUACAAGCAACCAAACAAAUGUUAGCAUGUUUGAUGUGAAGAAUUAACGAGAGAAAUGUAUAUUUUAAUUCAAUAGAAGUUGUUGGGUAGAUGAAUAUGUUUGCUCAUAUGUUUGUCCUAAUAACCAUUCAAGUACUAAAAUUUUUUCACUUGAAAUAUCUGCCAUGCAAUUUCAUAACAAAAACUGUCUUAUUUUGCAUCUCUUUCUGAAUUGGAAGAAUUUAAAGUUGCGAUAGAUGCCCAUAGUUAAAGGAUGAGUUUCCUAAAAUGGGAAUUGAAGUUCAGACAAAAAGACUAUUAUAGGUUUUGCUUGUUGCACUUGGAAGCAACCAGGUUGAUAAAUGAGGCAAUGAGAAGCUAACACACAAUUCUGCACUCUUUCAUCUCUUUUCUCUUUAAGGUCUGAGAUUCUGUUUUUCAGCUUCUUGAAUGCAUGCAUGUUUUCACUGAAAUGGAAAAGGAUUCAUAGACCAAAAACAAAGUGCCGCAAAGUUUACAACAGAUUGUACACUUGGAGCUAUUAGUCAUAUAGUAUAAUUUAACAAGCAAAUAAGAUCUAGAUAAAGUAAAAUGGAAAAAGCAUCAAGAAUAAUCAUCCAAGACAUUUCCAAGGUAAGCAUUCAAUGAUUUUUAAAAAAUGCUUAAUGCAGUUAUUUUAUUUUAUUUAUUUAUUUAUUUAUUUUUUAGGCUAGUUAGUGCAGUAUUGAAAUACCACAGGUAGCGCAGUGCACUCUCCAGCAGAUUAUGUGACCAAGGUAGUUCAUUUCGUAAAUUUUCAUUUUUACCAUUUUAUUUAGAUCAGAUGACUUAUGAAUGCACUAAUAGAAGAAAGGUGUCUAUUGUUUCCCAAAUGAGAUCGUCAAAAUUAGAAUUUUGAAUAAUCAAAGGAAGAUAAUAAAUUAAGGAUGGCUCACCAGUUUACCAUGUGAUAUCCAACACCUUUAAAAUAAAGCACUCGGAGGGAAGAUUUUCCUCGUUCUCUCGUAUCAGUGUUAUUACAUUGAAUGGAAGAAGUUCCAGAAGUUCCAACAUCACUAUU
rnacentral:lncRNA from 1 species